rnacentral:rRNA from 1 species
UACAUGUGGGGCAAGCGUUGUUCGGAAUUACUGGGCAUAAAGGGUGCGUAGGCGGUGUCGUCAGUCUGGGGUGAAAUCCUGCGGCCCAACCGUGGGACUGCCUCGGAUACUGCGAUGCUUGAGUGCGUGAGGGGUGAUCGGAACGCGUGGUGUAGCGGUGAAAUGCGUAGAUAUCACGCGGAAGGCCAACGGCGAAGGCAGAUCACUGGUACGCAACUGACGCUGAGUGCACGAAAGCGUGGGGAGCAAACAGG